CGAAAGCCUGACGGAGCAAGACCGCGUGGGGGAGGAAGGCUCUAGGGUUGUAAACCCCUUUUAUCUGGGAAGAACAAAAUGACGGUACCAGAUGAAUAAGCCUCGGCUAACUCCGUGCCAGCAGCCGCGGUAAUACGGAGGAGGCAAGCGUUAUCCGGAUUUAUUGGGCGUAAAGCGUCCGCAGGUGGCAAUGUAAGUCUGCUGUCAAAACCCAGGGCUCAACUCUGGUCAGGCAGUGGAAACUACAUAGCUAGAGUUCGGUAGGGGCAAAGGGAAUUCCCGGUGUAGCGGUGAAAUGCGUAGAGAUCGGGAAGAACAUCGGUGGCGAAAGCGCUUUGCUAGACCGAAACUGACACUCAGGGACGAAAGCUAGGGGAGCG
rnacentral:rRNA from 1 species